GAAUAAGAUAUCUUCAGAAAUGUGGGUUGUACUUGAAAUCUGCCUCACAAGAAAACUGCAUGUGAAAUUCUCUGAAGAUCCCCUAUGAUGCACAAGGCAGAAGAAAUAGGUGUACACGAAGAAUCAGAAGAACCUAAGCCCCAGGUUUUCGGGCAGCCCGAGAGAUUGACACAUGAUAUCACCGGAGGCGUGUCCCGGAGUGGAGGUGGAGGUGGAGGCAAGGAGCUGAAAUUCUGCGGAGCCGGAGUGAGAUCGCUCUGUAAAGCACGCAGUGGUUUGCAGAGUGAUAGCAGGCAGAGUUCCCUACCCUGGAUAAGGAACAACUACAGUCGCUGUAAAUGUGCCUGAAAAGCAAUUUCCAAUCUUUGCAUUAGGCAUUUCGGACGUGGAACUGCAGGCUCGGAGGACUGGGUGUGAGCGCUGCCCCGGAGAGGCUGACCUGCCAGGACCGGAGUUCCCGGGGACGCUGUGCCCCCACUUGCCCUACGUGUGAGAUCGGCAAAGCGCCUGGGCCUGAGCGGGGAACGGGACGACGCCCGCCUGUCUCCGAGAAGGAUCCCCAAACCUCGCUCCCUUAACCCCUCCCCCCUAAAAACACGGGUAAAAAGAUUCCCCUCCCCCUACCCGGCCGCGGCGGCCUCUGCCUGGCAGGCGCGUGCUCCAGGGUCUCGCGCGGGGCUUGCGCGGCUCCGUGACCCGCCCGUCGACUACGGUUCGAGCCCUGACCCGGACGCCGCGGAGUCUCGAACGCCCGUGACGUGGAUUUUUCGUUCGUCAGGAAGCCGCCAUCCCUUCCUUCGUUCCCUGCGAGGAGCGACCAGAACCGGAGACGUACUCUGAGCACACCGUGCCGUCAGCUAGCCCGUCACGCACUCGACUCUCCGCCACUCCCCUGCUCGUUUUUCUGAGACUCGAAGAGCCUUCCCGAAAGGAUUUGUAAAAACUGGUUCUUAGAAAGGGACUGCGGAAGACCUCGUGAGGUGGAUGUUACUGAGCCGCCCGGCGAGCGCCAGCCUUGAGAGGUCCGGCCCGGGCCGCGCGGAGCCGCGGGAGAACUGCCCUCCGCAGCCGGAAGGGGGCCGCGAGGAGCGCUCCUGCCCGGUGGCGGCAGGGGCGGGGGAGGCCGCGGGCCGAGGCGCAGCAGCUCCGGCGAUGCCGCCU
rnacentral:lncRNA from 13 species